GCCAGCAGCUAUGUCACUCUGCAACUCACAGCUGGCUACCCGCUGAAGCUAAGCAGGGUUGAGCCUGGUCAGUACCUGAUUGGGAAACCUCCUGGGAAAAACUAAAGGUUGCUGCCGGAA
rnacentral:rRNA from 1 species